rnacentral:tRNA from 1 species
GUCGGGGUAGCUCAGAUGGUUAGAGCGAGCGUUUCAUAAGCGCUAGGUCGACGGUUCGAUCCCGUCCCCCGACACCA